rnacentral:sRNA from 1 species
CAACAGACAGCAGACGAGGGGCCCGCCA